GACGAACGCUGGCGGCGUGCUUAACACAUGCAAGUCGAACGGAAAGGCCCUGCUUUUGUGGGGUGCUCGAGUGGCGAACGGGUGAGUAACACGUGAGUAACCUGCCCUUGACUUUGGGAUAACUUCAGGAAACUGGGGCUAAUACCGGAUAGGAGCUCCUGCUGCAUGGUGGGGGUUGGAAAGUUUCGGCGGUUGGGGAUGGACUCGCGGCUUAUCAGCUUGUUGGUGGGGUAGUGGCUUACCAAGGCUUUGACGGGUAGCCGGCCUGAGAGGGUGACCGGCCACAUUGGGACUGAGAUACGGCCCAGACUCCUACGGGAGGCAGCAGUGGGGAAUAUUGCACAAUGGGCGGAAGCCUGAUGCAGCCACGCCGCGUGCGGGAUGACGGCCUUCGGGUUGUAAACCGCUUUCGCCUGUGACGAAGCGUGAGUGACGGUAAUGGGUAAAGAAGCACCGGCUAACUCCGUG
rnacentral:rRNA from 1 species